CACACCGCCCGUCACAUCACGAAAGCCUUUUGUACUAGAAGCCGGCAAUUCAACCGCAAGGAGAUAGCCGUCCAAGGUAUGAAUGGUGAUUGGGGUG
rnacentral:rRNA from 1 species